AUUCUCCUUCUUUUUCGUUCACACAUUUCGCCGAACCUAGCCGCGCUUUCAGACGCUCCGUCCUUCAUCCUCUUCGAGUCAAACCUCUUUUGUUCACACCCUCCGCUGUGUUCUUCGUCACUCCGUCCAACUGCCACGCCGUGCUCGUCGUCCACGUCGUCGUCCGUUCGUCGUUCGCUGUCCAACUGCUUUCGUCCACGUCGUCCGCCGUCCACGUCGUCCGCCGUCCACGUCGUCCAAGUCGUCCAAAGAAUUGCUCAGAGCAAUUGCAUUAAUUGCUCAGAGCAAAGAAUUGUCUGCUCUAUGUCAAAAGAUUAUCCAUUUGAUACCGAAAAUACAACUUCAAAGAUGAUGUGGGCUCUAGAAUAUGAUCCCUACUUGUUCUGGUUGUAUGAAGAUUCAGAAGACAUAUAUCAGUUGAUGGAAAGAAGUGACAACUUUCCUGUUUGUGGGAAGGUGAUGUUAUUUGAUGAAACGACUUGA